UUGAUUAUUUUCCUGCAGUUUUCGUAAAUAAACAGCAAUCUGUGAGUUUCAUUUUUUUUGCCCUCUCGGUGGCGAAACCGCUGCAGGUUUUCCGCCCCGCUGGUGGUUUCACGGGGCAGAUGGAAUCGUCCCGAGUCCGAGGUACGAGGAGAUGUUUGAACCGAUGGCAGGUCCGGAGAAUCCGGGUUUGACGGAGCAGAUGCGGGAGCCGAAGAAUAUUCUUCAGGGUUUGUGGAGGCGGAACAUAUUAGUGACUCAAUUUGAGAACCAGCGAAAGGCGGUCCACAGUUACUAUGAGACGCGUUUGAUCCGUUGGUGGAGGAAGGACCUAGUGGAGGUGGUGGGGCACUUGCAGGCCGCGUACGACACGAACGGGAAGACGGUGUUUGAAUCUUCUAUAGCGAAUCGGGCGGGGGAUCAGAGAAAAAAGUUGAAAAUCGACAAUCCGGAAGAAGUUGAUGGAGUUUUUGGACUGUGAGGCGAGGACGAGGAACUUGUGUCGAGGCCGAGCGGGUUGUGAUCGAAGAAAUGAUGGCCACGAAGCAGCGCCGGAACCGCAUGACUGAGGAUAAGCCGAACGAGUACAUGCUGCACAACAAGGACUUGGAAACUAUCUUGGGCGAUCGUUUCUGCAUCGCCGCACGAUGUCGUAGUCAAUCUGGGCCGAUGUGGUGCUCUGAACAGUGCUUCCUGCUAGUGGCGGGAACGUCCGACGUCCGAUAAGAUCAUUCGGUGGGGCACCUGCAGUAGCGACUUCGUCCAGGAGUAUGAACGACAUCUGGGCGCGGUAAACUCGAUCACUUUCAACGACUAAAACCAGCUCUUGACGACUUCCGACGACGGCAUGGCUUGGCGUCGGCAAAGUCUACAUCUGUUUCACGACCUGUACGAGCAGCUGAGUGCCUACACCAACAGUAUCGCCGUGCGCUGAUUCUUGAGUUUCUCCUGCUCCUCGCGGAUACGAAUAGUUUCGUGGAGGGAGGUCCACUGUUGAAUCUGGACCACCGCGAGGACAGCAUCGCCUAUGCUGGCGGAGUUCUUCAAGGACGGGCAACUCCAAGCUGAACAUUCCCGAGCCCGACCCCAUCGAAGGGACUCUUCCGCGCGGUGAAGUGACCGGUUACGAUUGGUUCAACAUGAUGCCCAAAAAGAUGAAUCACCGACACAAGUCCUAAGGUCUGCAAAGCGCUGCUGCUGUUCCGUCUGCACCAGAUCAACAACCACCAUCUUCAAGCUGAACAUGGCCACCAAGAAAAUGCUGCGCAUCGCCGAUCCGUACUUCACUUACGGCUUCUUCUCACUCUAGUCGAUCCGCGACCUGGUCUAAAAGCGUGACUCCGUCAGGCACCGACAUUGCUGCAUCACAAUCACGGCCAAGAUCGAGCGCUGAACGCACUCAACCAGCUGGGCAGCAUUCAGAGAAAGAUCAACAUUCGCGCACUGGUCCCACCCCGCGGCACAUUUGUCCCGCAGCCUCCUUAGUUCGAUAUGA